ACCNGAGGGGAGGGUUCCCCCUUUUAGGGAGGCCGCCGGGGGGCCAAUUUACCCAACCNGGCCCCGGGGGGGUGGGGCCAGGAAAUACCAAUCCGGGGCAAUUUUUUGGAAAUGGAAAGAAGGGGGCCCAAAACUUUCCCCGGGGUGCCAAUGGGGGGCCAAUUUGGGGCCCGCCGGCGCGGGAAUUCCCAGUUCCAAAGGGGAUAUUAAAACUGUUGCCAGUAAAAAAGCUCGUAGUGAAAUUUAUGCGUUGCCCGUUUGGCAUUCGUUCGGUUUUUGGGAUUUCGUUUGGGGGUUUUCCCUUUUUACUUUGAGAAAAUUAGAGUGUUUCAAGCAGACUUGUGUCUUGAAUACUUCAGCAUGGAAUAAUAAAGUAGGACUUUGGUUCUAUUUUGUUGG
rnacentral:rRNA from 1 species